rnacentral:misc_RNA from 1 species
UUUCCGUAGGUGAACCUGCGGAAGGAUCAUUAUCGAGUUUUGACUGGGUUGUAGCUGGCCUUCCGAGGCAUGUGCACGCCCUGCUCAUCCACUCUACACCUGUGCACUUACUGUGGGUAUCAGAUCGUGAAGCGUGCUUUUUUACCGGAGCUUGUGAAGCGUGUCUGUGCCUGCGUCUAUCGCAAACACUAUAAAGUAUCAGAAUGUGUAUUACGAUGUAACGCAUCUAUAUACAACUUUCAGCAACGGAUCUCUUGGCUCUC